AAACACGAACACUCCUAACGUAGCUUCUGGAAGUAGUGAUGGGAAUAAUGAGACCUAGGUGUACCUGAAUGUCUAUGAUCUCACCCCUAUGAAUAAUUACAUGUCCUGGUUUGGAGUAGGAAUCUAUCAUUCGGAAAUUGAAGUACAUGGUAAGGGGUAU